CAGAGAAUGGAUACGUUGAUCCAGCAUUGGCCGGUGGCUGACAUGGAAGUAGAAGAGGAAGCCUGUUGAGAGAUCAGCCACAAUGAUCUCUCUGGAAAAUCUAUAGACAAGUUUGUUGCACCUUGGUUUCCUGGGCUGACUAUUCAAAGCAAAAGAAGAACCUGGCUGGGUCAGGCUGAUGUUCCAAAGUUCAGCAUCAUGGUAGCCAAGCAGUUGCUUCCAUAAGGUCUAAAAACAUGUCGCAGAAACCAUGGUGUCCCCCAGUACCUGGGCAUUCAAACAUAGAUUGCCUCAGAGAUAUACUUAAGGUUGCCUAAUCUGGCUUGGGAAAUUCUCUUUUUCUCCUAAACUCUAUUGUAUACCAUAAAGCCCUCUCUCUAAAGCUCACUCAACAUAAAGGGCUAUCUCCAUCACAAACAAUACAAAGCUAAAGGAGAAAACUCCCCAAGAAAAAUAAUGUUUUUUAGAAAGUUUUUAAAUUUUCGUUUUAAAGCGAUAGUGCUUAAAUUGCUCAAAGUGAAAAUACAUCACUUAGAUAUAUAUCUUAUUACAAUACAAUAAAUAUAACACGAUAAAUAUCAAAAUACAAUAAUUUUCACCAAAGAGUUCCAAAAAGAAUAAUCUCCUGGGAUCUUGAAUACCAACCAGUUCCAAUAUGUGACUAAGAUAAAUUUUCAAUAUGUCCAAGAUAAGUUCAAGCAGGUUGAUAUUGGUUGUUGUGGGUUUUCCGGGCUGUAUUGCCGUGGUCUUGGCAUUGUAGUU